GUGGGGAAUAUUGGACAAUGGGCGAAAGCCUGAUCCAGCCAUGUCGCGUGUGUGAAGAAGGUCUUCGGAUUGUAAAGCACUUUAAGUUGGGAGGAAGGGCAGUAAGUUAAUACCUUGCUGUUUUGACGUUACCGACAGAAUAAGCACCGGCUAACUUCGUGCCAGCAGCCGCGGUAAUACGAAGGGUGCAAGCGUUAAUCGGAAUUACUGGGCGUAAAGCGCGCGUAGGUGGUUUUGUAAGUUGGAGGUGAAAUCCCCGGGCUCAACCUGGGAACUGCCUCCAAAACUGCAUGACUAGAGUACGGUAGAGGGUAGUGGAAUUUCCUGUGUAGCGGUGAAAUGCGUAGAUAUAGGAAGGAACACCAGUGGCGAAGGCGACUACCUGGACUGAUACUGACACUGAGGUGCGAAAGCGUGGGGAGCAAACAGGAUUAGAACCCUGGUAGUCC
rnacentral:rRNA from 1 species